GAUGAACGCUAGCGACAGGCCUAACACAUGCAAGUCGAGGGGCAGCACGAAGUAAGCUUGCUUACUUUGGUGGCGACCGGCGCACGGGUGCGUAACAGGUGUGCAAUCUGUCCAUAAUCGGGGAAUAGCCCAGCGAAAGUUGGAUUAAUGCUCCAUGUGAGCCGAGGAGGCAUCUCUUUGGUUUGAAACGUAAGGAUUAUGGGUGAGCACGCUUCUGAUUAGGUAGUUGGUGAGGUAACGGCUCACCAAGCCGACGAUCAGUAGGGGUUCUGAGAGGAAGGUCCCCCACAUUGGAACUGAGACACGGUCCAAAACUCCUACGGGAGGCAGCAGUGAGGAAUAUUGGUCAAUGGACGGAAGUCUGAACCAGCCAAGUCGCGUGAAGGAUGAAGGUUCUAUGGAUUGUAAACUUCUUUUGUCUGAGGGUAAAAAAGCGGACGUGUCCGUUCUUGCAAGUAUCAGACGAAUAAGCAUCGGCUAACUCCGUGCCAG
rnacentral:rRNA from 1 species